AUCUUGUUCUCAUCUUUUGACCAGAUUGACUCUUCUAUUCAAACAAUUUCAAGUCUAAGGCUAAACCGUACAACUUCAUUGGAUUUCUCAAGCGGUGUUCGUCUAAACCGCACACCAUUUGAGCGGUAUUCAUCUAAACCGCGUGUAGCUUGAACGGAGAAGAGGUAAACUGCAGAAGCCUUGACCGGUUUGUUAUCCGGUUUGUUUCAAAGCAUCAAUCAGUUUUCGAGACUAAGUCUGAAUCGCUCAAAGCAUCAACGGAUUCUUGAGCGGAUUUAUUGAAGUCUGGACCGGAUUCGUAUACCGCUCAAUCAAUAUCAUCGGAUUAGUAAAUCGUUCAAAUCAAAAGGUUUACACUUAAAGGGAUGUCCGGUUUAUACUCUUGUCUCUGUCCGAUUUAAACUGUUAACAGGUCUAUUAUUACUGCUCUUAAUUGCUCUUAACAAGCGUCA